AUUAAAGUGAGUCGCAAUAAUUUUUUGUUCGUGAGCAAAGUGUUUCCCUUUCCGAUAGCACCAAGAGAAAACUACUCGCGCAUAUUUGUGCGGAAUUUUUAUACCCAUUCAUGUACCCAUUUGAUAGCGUAGAACCAAUACAACAAAAAACUUCGGCUGUUGGCUGUGUAGACGAUCGACUUCAAAGUACGGGUAUAUGUUCUCUGGUUCUGUUUUGGUUUUUCGGCUGCGUGCAAUCUGACGAGAGAAAAAAUGGCAUAAAAAAUCAUUUAAGAAAUGGCAAUAUUACAAGACUCAGAAAAUAUAUAAUUUUUUAGUACCUUUU